GGCCAUAGCUCAGUGGUAGAGCACAUGCUCUGUAUGCAGAAGAUCCCAGGUUCGAUUCCCAGGUAGGGCUG